rnacentral:rRNA from 1 species
UAUCAUGCAAGUCGAGCGAACAGACGAGGAGCUUGCUCCUCUGACGUUAGCGGCGGACGGGUGAGUAGCACGUGGAUAACCUACCUAUAAGACUGGGAUAGCUUCGGGAAACCGGAGCUAAUACCGGAUAAUAUAUUGAACCGCAUGGUCCAAUAGUGAAAGACGGUUUUGCUGUCACUUAUAGAUGGAUCCGCGCCGCAUUAGCUAGUUGGUAAGGUAACGGCUUACCAAGACAACGAUGCGUAGCCGACCUGAGAGGGUGAUCGGCCACACUGGAACUGAGACACGGUCCAGACUCCUACGGGAGGCAGCAGUAGGGAAUCUUCCGCAAUGGGCGAAAGCCUGACGGAGCAACGCCGCGUGAGUGAUGAAGGUCUUCGGAUCGUAAAACUCUGCUACUAGGGAAGAACAAAUGUGUAAGUAACUAUGCACGUCUUGACGGUACCUAAUCAGAAAGCCACGGCUAACUACGUGCCAGCAGCCGCGGUAAUACGUAGGUGGCAAGCGUUAUCCGGAAUUAUUGGGCGUAAAGCGCGCGUAGGUGGUUUUUUAAGUCUGAUAUGAAAGCCCACGGCUCAACCGUGGAGGGUCAUUGGAAACUGGAAAACUUGAGUGCAGAAGAGGAAAGUGGAAUUCCAUGUGUAGCGGUGAAAUGCGCAGAGAUAUGGAGGAACACCAGUGGCGAAGGCGACUUUCUGGUCUGUAACUGACGCUGAUGUGCGAAAGCGUGGAGAUCAAACAGGAUUAGAUACCCUGGUAGUCCACGCCGUAAACGAUGAGUGCCAAGUGUUAAGGGGUUUCCGCCCCUUAGUGCUGCAGCUAACGCAUUAAGCACUCCGCCUGGGGAGUACGACCGCAA